GACGAACGCUGGCGGCGUGCUUAACACCUGCCAGUCGAACGGAAAGGCCCUGCUUUUCUGUGAUGCUCGAGUGGCGAUCGGGUGAGUAACACGUGAGUAACCUGCCCUUUCCUUUGGGAUAACUUCAGGAAACUCGGGCUAAUACCGGAUCGGAGCUCCUGCUGCAUGGUGGGGGUUGGAAAGUUUCGGCGGUUGGGGAUGGACUCGCGGCUUAUGAGCUUUUUGGUGGGGUAGUGGCUUACCAAGGCUUUGGCGGGUAGCCGGCCUGAGAGGGUGACCGGACACAUUGGGACUGAGAUACAGCCCAGAGUCCGACGGGAUGAAGCAGUGGGGAAUAUUGCACAAUGGGCGGAAGCCUGAUGCAGCAACGCCGCGUGCGGGAUGACGGCCUUCGGGUUGUAAACCGCUUUCGCCUGUGACGAAGCGUGAGUGACGGUAAUGGGUAAAGAAGCACCGGCUAACUACGUG
rnacentral:rRNA from 1 species